AUCCUCUCAGGAUCGCACCUGGAGAGUUUCCAGUACUCAACCAAUCUUGGCUAUAGGAGGGAGAGUCAAGCAGAGGCCUACCCAUUCCAUUCCUAGCUUGGAUAGUGGCUAGUGAGUGGAAGGCAAUCUGUUACAAGU